rnacentral:antisense_RNA from 1 species
AGUUAUGGCGGCUGUGCGUGGGACGCUUUCGAGCGUGCCGGUUUCCAUUCGGGCCGGUCGGCCAACCCGCGUACAGUCGCCCCCAUC